UCAUUUUGAUGAGAAAUUUUAGAAUCCAUUUUAUUUUGGUAAUAGUUAGGAACUGAGCAAAUGAUGAAAAAUCUAAGAAAAUGAGCUAAGAGCUAAGCUCUUGCUGGCAAAUCUGGAUUUUUCUUUCUUCUUCUUUGUGGAAAAAAAAAAAAAAAACCUUCCCUCCCCCUCUCUCUUGAAAUUUCUUAUGCCCGAAACCUCACUCUCCCUCUCCUUCACAUCGACGUCGAUAACCCUCCUCCAACGUGGGGCGACAACCUACAUUACACACCUCGUGAACGUUGCCACUGCCCAAUUCAUCUUCAUCACUGCUCACAUCUACAAGUUCGAUUUGUUACGCCGCGUCUCCCCCAAUUCGUUAGAGUUCACCGUCGUUUGACGCACACAGUGGGUCUCACGGUGGGUCUCAACGUCAUACGAGAGGUUGUGGCUGUUUUAAAAAAAAUUGGAACCUCAACAUCAUACCUCUUUCUUGUGUUGCUCCAAAUCAUUGGUGCAACUCGAUCUUGUCGCCGGUAGUUGGAUCUUGGAGUUUUAAACCAACUUGAAAAAGGGAAGAUGUAUAAUCUAUGGGGAUCGAGUCAUUACUUGAAAUAGGGAAGAUGUAUAAUCUCAUGGGAUCGAGCCAUUGAUGAUAGUGGUCAAGGUCGAAGCUUCUACUGAGUUUUUCCUCACCAUUUGUAUAGUUUAUCAUUUUUGUAUAUGUAUAUACUUCAGUUUUUUAUUACGUUAGAAGUAGUUAGAAGUAGCAAGAUUUAUGAUAUGGACACUUGAGAGAUUUAUUAGUGGAUUGUAAUUAUUUGGUAACUAAAUAUCUAGUUUGGCUAUAAACUUUGAUUGAGACUAUCUAGAAUGGAAUAGUUUGGAUUAGUGUAGAGAGAAAAACUUGAGGUGCUGUUGAAUCUGAAGAUUAAUAUAUGUAUAAAGAAGUGAAAAUUUCUUCCGCUUUCAGGUUUGGCUAACCCAUAUUUUAGAGGAGGUGCUGUCGAAGUUUUUGUAGAA